rnacentral:ncRNA from 1 species
CCGAAAACCGGGGGGUGCCUAAAUAUUACGGGCUGAGAUCAUACCCUUUGAACCUGAACAGGUAAUGCUGUUGAGGGAAGAAGUAAAUCUCCGUAUU